UCAUGCCCUUCGGGGUAGAUCUCCCACCCGUGUUAUCAUACCAUUGUUGCUUUGGCGGGCCCGCCUCGGCCACCGGCUCCGGCUGGUGAGCGCCCGCCAGAGGACCCCAAACUCUGAAAUUUAGUGUCGUCUGAGUACUAUAUAAUAGUUAAAACUUUCAACAACGGAUCUCUUGGUUCUGGCAUCGAUGAAGAACGCAGCGAAAUGCGAUAAGUAAUGUGAAUUGCAGAAUUCAGUGAAUCAUCGAAUCUUUGAACGCACAUUGCGCCCCUUGGUAUUCCGGGGGGCAUGCCUGUUCGAGCGUCAUUACAACCCUCAAGCUCUGCUUGGUAUUGGGCGUCCCCGGCAACGGGGUGCCCUAAAAUCAGUGGCGGUGCCGUCUGGCUCUAAGCGUAGUAAAUCUCUCGCUCUGGAUGCCCGGUGGAUGCUCGCCAGUAACCCCCAAUUUUUUACAGGUUGACCUCGGAUCAGGUAGGGAUACCC
rnacentral:rRNA from 1 species